CGGGGCCUGCGGCGGUCGCCCCGCGCUUUCAAGGCUCGCGAGCCCAAGCACCGC
rnacentral:ncRNA from 1 species